rnacentral:rRNA from 1 species
UACAGAGGGUGCAAGCGUUAAUCGGAUUUACUGGGCGUAAAGCGCGCGUAGGCGGCUAAUUAAGUCAAAUGUGAAAUCCCCGAGCUUAACUUGGGAAUUGCAUUCGAUACUGGUUAGCUAGAGUGUGGGAGAGGAUGGUAGAAUUCCAGGUGUAGCGGUGAAAUGCGUAGAGAUCUGGAGGAAUACCGAUGGCGAAGGCAGCCAUCUGGCCUAACACUGACGCUGAGGUGCGAAAGCUAGGGGAGCAAACAGGGAU